UUUAGUAUAGUUAUACUGUAAAAGUAUAUUCUAUACAGCUCUUAAUGAGGAAACAUUUCUGGAUUAUGUGUGUACAAUAUCAUGACAAGUCAACAGUCCACGAGCUAAAAUGCAACAGACAUCCUUCUUCAGCAAAAAGAAGGAACACUUUAUAACAUAGUAUUUGAACCAAAACUCCCUCUUAAAAAAUAGUCAUCAGGAUCCCCAACUUUUAGCAGGGCAUUUGACUAGAAGUCUUUGCAGGUAAGAAUAAUGGGUGAUUGGCUGAACUGACCCAAUUAAAUUUAAACCCCUGCCUCUGUUACAAGAGAUUAUCUGUGUCAGAAGCAAACUAGAAAUUCUUGCUGGUCUGAGAUACGGGGUUUUGGUUUGACUGCUUCCUACCAGCCACUCAGGUACAUGCAUUUAGCUUGUUUUUGUUUGGGGUUUUUUUGUUUGUUUUUUUUUUCCCCAAAAUUUUAUCUUUAUAUCUGUUUCCCCCUUCUGUCAUUUCUCUUCUUCCUCUAAAUUAAAAAUCUUAUGUUCCACUGUAUUCCUUGUUACUCAUCCAUUUAGUUUCAUUUCUUCCUUUUUCAUUUCUACUCCCUCUCCCUCCCUUGGUUUGAAUAGACAUUAAAUGCAUUAUGCCCACUCCACUGAAUUCCAAAGAUGCUGAAUCAAGGUUUAGUAGUAGCUUAACAGACACUAGUUCAUGUCUUCAAUACGUAAAGAAAACAAGUUCUACAAGGUACUGUGAUGCCUUAGUGCUGCUCUUAAUAUUUUUAUAGUUUCCAAGACAAACCAUGAAUAAUAAUAAAGUCCUAAAAUCUUUGUCAUAGGCUAAGGACACCAUCUACCUAAAGAAUACUUCAAUCUCAGCAGAGUACUAUAAAUUUCAGGAGACAGUUAGCAAUGACACUGUUUAGUUUUUAUCUUAUUGGAGGAGGAUGUUGUAGCUCUCAUCUGCAUAUUUCCUCUUCAUGGAUAACACCACAAAUGUCUGUUGCUUGUUUGAAUGUUCAAGCUGAGAUAUUUAUAUGUCAGGACUAGUAUAUGCAGGUCCGUGCCUGCUGGGUCUGAGUAUACAUCCAUGGGCGUGAUGGCUAGAGAGGCUGAUGUGGAGCAGAGGCUGGACAGAGUUAAAGAAUAAAGUAGGUGUUUAUUAAAAGGCCUUAAAGGAUACACCUUGGGCAGUACAAGAGCCCAGCCAGGGGUACACCCAAGAUGGGCCCAAAAUGGUCACAAAACAAGAUGACUGAUCACAAGGUCCCACACUUCUGUAAGUUUUGGUCCAUUUGCAUAUUGGGGUUAAUUGUCCAAUUACAGCUUCAGGUCAUGAAGGGUAAGGUCAUGACAUCCUGCUCAGUCUCUUCAAUUCAUUGUUGUUUAUGCUUUUUGGGCUUGAGGCUUGCAACGUCUCACCUUGGUUCUCAGGCUGGAAAAGGAUUGUUUUGUCUACUUAUCCUGUGAAGAUAACAUACCAACACUUAACAUGAAGUUCAGUUACACACCAAGAUAGCACAGAAUCUGAAAAAUAUGGAAGCUAAAACUUAAGGCACCGGGUGGCCUCCUUCUCCUUCCAAGAUCACAGCUGGGAGACCACGGAUCACUGGAGGGCACACUCAAGGAGGAAGAAAAAUCCUCCUGGAAGGGAGACUGCUAUUAAGAAGAAAGGGAGAUGCUAAAGAUCAAAGAGGAAUAAGAAAGCAGGGAAAUGCUAUUUGUCAGUGAACUUAAUUCUACUAGUUAUCAGUUGUUUUAAGGCCACUAAUCCAAUUAGUACCACUGCCUACCCCCUUGGUUGUGCUAAGCUCUCCUGAUGUGCUUAUGCACUGCCUUGUCACAGCUUACAUUUAAAGUGUGCUAAAUCUGCAGGGAUGCUGAAAGCUCUUUUUUUAUUUAUACAGAACAACUGUGGUCAGAAUAGGGCCUAUAGACAGUUAUUGUUUUAAGCCUUAAUGCUGUGCAAGCAUUCACAAUCAGGAAAGAAUUGUUCAUUGGCUACAAUCUGCAUGAAACAACAGUUGCAUCAUUUUACUCUUAUUCUGUUCAUACAAUUUCUUCAAAACAGAGAAAGAUUAGUGUGCUGAUGUUUAAGAGUAUGUUUGCUUGAGCAUGCUCUGAAAUGUGGAGCUUUUUUCCCAUGCUCCGUUCCACAAAAGCGGUUGGAGAAAGCUUAAGAUAUUCAGCCAAUAGGAAAAAAAUGAAAGCGAUUUUAGUUGUUUGUGACUUGGAAUAACUCUGCUAUGAAAAAAAGUUCUACAACUUAAUUUUUUCUAUGUUUGGAGCAGGAGGAUAGAUAUUUUCAUGCUAAUGUGAGAGGGCUGUGGAAACAAAAGAUGAAAUAACUGUUUCUUAAUCCUCUGUGUACUAAAGAGGUACAAGGCUUCACUGAAAUCAGAUGGCACCUAGUGUUACAAGGUAAGUUGACAGCUGCCUACCUGAGACUUCAAUGAAUAAAUAAGAGUGCAUACUCAGAAUGAUCAAGAAUGUAAAAAAAAAAUAGGUAGAUAGAUAAAAAUAGGUACAUCUUGCUUUUUUCUUUUACAAAUCAAAGAUAUUAAUAGCAAGAAUAAUAAAUUUUAAAAUUUCAGGGGUUUUUUAGUUGAGCCCUGAAUUACAGAAUCACAAAAUUCUCAAUUCCUCGUGAUUUUUCCGCUCCAGUAGAGAAAUUGUUCCAUUUUCUAUGGCCAGUGAAGAUCAGAAAAACGCACAUCAAGUAUAGGAAGCACAAGUACUAACUAAAUUCAACAACAUAUGGAAGCCACAGCUAUGAAGAACAGAAUAAAAUGAAUUUCCAACUGAAAUAUAACCUCUGUGUAAACACAUGGUUGUGGGAACUGGAAAUUCACCAAAAUAAUUAAAGAGAAAAAACUAGAUGCCUGUUAGAGCAGGUGCCUACCAAAGUUUUACGGCGUUCAAUGAGAAGUUUCACUACUGCCAAAGGAAUGUGAGAAAUCUGCUGUGUCUCCAGAUAUCCAAGAUUUUCUUAAGCACUCCAGAUGCUAACACAUCCCCCUCUGGGAUGCCAUCAAACAGGAACAAACCCAUUUCAGAAAACCCACUGGUGACUCCCAAGAAAAAAACCUGAACAAGAAGCUUUAGGUAGGAGAGAUAAGCCCAUGGUCCCUACAGGCUGGAACAGCAGGAAGUGAUGGCAAAAGCUUACUAGAAAUUGCUCAGGUAAUUUGUAACAAUGUUACUUUCCCUGACACAACACAGCCAGUAUAUUCUAAACAAAGCAUGGCUCCAGCAUAUACAUUGUGGGAAAAAGCAAAAUACUAUUAUGAAACUGUGUGCAUUAUGGCAAGAAAAAUGGCUUCUAAGCCAUUAGAAGUAGCCUUUGAAUAUUGCUGAGAUUUCCAGUUUCAAGCAUUGAAUUCCAGUUUCAAGCAUGAAUUAAAAAUCUUCAUGUGUCAUGUGAUGGUUCCUUGAGUUACCAGGUAUCAGCAAAGCUCAACAAUAAGGCAUCUUAGUCAGCCACAUUUUUAAGGUAAAGUGCAUUAUUUCAAAUAUUUCCAAUGUUUCUAAAUCCUUUUCAAAACUGAGGCCUUGUCCUUUCACGUAAGCUUAUCUUUAUUGCUGUGAUUUUGCUUAACCAUUUUUUCAGACAAACAUGUAAACUCAUAUUCUUAAUCUUCUAAAAAGUGUAUCUAAAAAAUAUUUCAAAUCCAUGUGCCAGCCUUUCCACUUCAGCUACAUGUCAGACAUUUUCAGAGCCAGGUGCUGAAAGCUGGGAUUAGUGGGCAUUUUCAGCCUCUUAUGCUGAGUACAGCAGAGCCAAAAAUAACAUUCUCAGCAGAUUUUUCAGAUAUCUCAUUUAUCCAAACUGUGUUAUUUAUGACUGCUGUAACUUCUUGUAUCUGAAACACAGCAUGUCUGGACUAGCAGUAACUUUUUUUUGUUGUAAUAAUUAUGUCCCAGAGAGCCUGCUGUUUAAAAAGAAAACCUCUUUCCUAUUUCCUUUUUGCUUUCCUUCUCUCAGGCAGUCCUUUCUUGUGGACAUUUAUUUAGAGAUCUUAGGAUAAAUGCACUUUUUUGAUAGGCAUAUAUUUAUGAAAUGGCUCUUAACAAGUCUAAAUUUGUAUAUGCUGACUGAAUAUAAUGGCCAGUAUUGUUUACUCCCGUAAUUCCUUAUGCAAGAAAAUUAACCAAGUGUUCCAAAUUUCCAAUAGUAGUACGUACCCAUAUUUUCCUUGGGUGCAAGAUACAGAAUAAAGCAAUUAUACUUUAAUUACUUUAUUCCAGAAAUGUAAGCAUAUGAUCUUUCAAAUUAAUUUUCUUCAGCACAUGUCUUACUCAUACUUUUGAGGAGGUUUUUGCCUUUUUUGUUUGUUAUGAUCAUUCCACACUCCAUGUCACUGUAAACAGUCUGCUUCCAGAUCAGCAAAAUUCUUUCUAGACAAUAACAGAUCAAUCCAUGCCUGUAUAGAACUAAUCCAGAUUAUAUGGAGCAGACAAAGGAGUAACGUGUUUUAAUGGAUAGUUGUUAAAAGAAAACACAUGCAAUACAUGACUUUCACCUCUUGAUUGAAUAUAAGCCAGUAAUUCAUUUAGUGCAUGGCUGGCUCGGUUUUGUGCUGUUAACAAUGCUUAUGGAAUAUGUACCUCAGCCUUUCCUUAACAAUUUGAAUUAUAGGAAGUUUAGCAGAUGGUGAGUGCUUGCAGGGGGACAGAGAUCAAAUAUUUGUGUUUUUUCUUUCAGAAGCAAGGUGGACAGAAUCUCAGUUUACUCAAAUGAGGUAGAUUCAUGGAGGUGAAAGCAGCUCUUAGCUUACCUGUGAAUCUUGAUUUAUGUUACUGCAACUUUAUGGCUGCCAAGUCCCCAGGAAUGCUAGUUAACUUCACUGGGAAUGCUGAAGGAACUCCGCACAAAAUGAGCUACAAAUCUAGAAGAAAAAAUAUUUUGGAAAGAAGAGCAAAGCCUUUAGACUGAGACAGAAGAGUCUGGUUGCAAGGAAGCAUCAGUUGACAAUCACGCUGUAGUAAAGAAGAAAAUAUAAUAGGAAUACUGUAGAAACAACAGAUCUCUUGACCCAAUGCCACAAGGCCAAGAGCACAGAGGGAAGAAACCAUCCUCCAACAAAGAACUUACUUGUUUACUUUGGUUCUUUCUGUCCUAGUCCAUCUACUUUCUAAACUGAGAUACCUUGAAAGAGACAGUUACUUUUGAAACCCAAGAAUCUUGGACAUGUAGGAACAGAUCUUCAACAGAUUCAGGGGUUUUGUUAUCUUAUAAAUUUUUUUUCUUUUGUUGUCCUGAAAAGAACAAACCCUUAUAGUCUGAGAUGACACUGACAGGGAUAUGCAGAGAGAAGUGCUGAGUUUCCAGAGGGCUCUCACCAUAUAAUCACACAAGGCUUCCCGACUCUUGCUGUUUCACUGUUGCCCCAAACCCAUUGUUUAGGGAAGAAGCUGCAAAUGCUUCUUUUCCAAGUACAAAACUCCUGUUGUUUUCUUGUGAUCAUCUCCUGCUUACUUUUGUGUCUCCUCCUCUCCUUCUAUAGAAGCUGUUUCCAAUAGGCUCGUUGCUGCAUAGACUGAUCAGACUGUCAGCAUCAAAUAAAAAGCAAUAUAAAUAUUCAAAUAAAAUGCAAUAUAAAUAAUCUUUUUGGCUGAGUAGCAGAGAAACGUGAGUUGGUACAUUGUGUCAACAUACAAGCAGUGUGAAGCUCACAUUAGGAAGAUCUAAGGGUGCAAGAUUAGGAUGGCUGAGGUAAAAAUUGGCUAGUAAUGUUCCCUGUGGUACGAUUGGUCAACAAUGUGGUAUCAUGUUGUGAAUAUCUGUGGCAUGAAGUCUGAAAUUUAAUACAAGUAUCAACUACUCUGUUGAUGACCCUAAGCACAGGGAAUCUCUCAUGUCUGGCUUACUGUAUUGCUUUCAGAAAAUAAGUUACCUUAUCUGGACAAGAAGCUCUGAAUCCCACACACCUUAAUACUGCAUAUCCUAAUGUUACAAACUGAUAAGUUAGCAAGUGGAGUCUGCCAAGAGCUGUCAGACCUGUCUGGGCCAUUCCACCUACGGUUACAUUUUGUUUCCCCCAAUAACUACUCCUGCACAGACACUCAUAAAAACUGAGGUAUUAAAUUCUUUGAUUACCCACAUUGCUUUUUGGUAGCACAUUACUACUAUCUCUUGCAACCUUUUGCUAUCUCUUGUGCAGGCAUUUCUACAGAGAAAAUUAGUCAGAAACUAACAUUAGUUAAUGUUUUAAUAUUCCAUUUCACUUCACUCUACUCCUUUUUUCUAAGAGCUUUUCUGUGUCUCACUCCUGUUUGCAGUCACUGACUUGUUUUACACAAAAGAACUGUUCUUUCAUCUAGUAAAAAUUUGGUAGUUCAUCAACUUUGUUUAGGGUCAGGGCCACACGAGUACUGGUGAGACUGCAAAAAGUUUGAAAAGGUACCCAAUAGUCUUUCUAGUAAUGCAGCUUCUGAGGGUAAGAAGCAACUUGUGAUUUUGCUCUGAGUCCACAGCAUCUUCACCCAAAUCACGGGAAAAACCCUAUUCUGAGACUGAUGUUAAUAAAGUAUGUAGAAUGUCUUAGCUGAGUACUUAGAUGGUCAGCUUUUGUCUGGACUGUUUGUUUUUCAUGUAUCUUAUAACAUUUUAUCCAGUACAGAUAUUUUCUCUACGAAAUAAGGAUUUCGAACAUAUGAUAAUAAUAUUGACUGUAUCUUUUGAUUGACACUUCAUAGAUGUCGAUGUGUUGUUAUUAAACAGACUAUUGCAUUAUACAUGCAACUUAACAGAUAAGGAAUUCAAAAUUAACAGAUAUUGAAAUAGGACAUACUGAAACAUGCUGAUCAGAUAAAAAAAAAGUUCCAGCAGUUCUGCUGUUACAGGGAUAGUGGCUGUAUUAACAUCAGAGCCUUUUGAGCCUGCUCCACUGCCUCUCAGGAAACAAUGAGACAUCAAAAUUGAGCAGAAGGAAUGGUGCCAUUUUAUGAGUCUCCUUGUGUUAUAACGGCAUAAUUCUCUUAAAAAUGUAAGUACAUACUUGCACAUGGGCUAGACUGCAGAAAUGACUUCAUUUUCUUGUACAGACUUGAACUUACUAGACUUUCAGUCCAAACUAACCCAUAGGGGAAAUCCAACCCAGGCUCACCACAGCUUUUGAUAAAAGGUGUAUUCCAAUGUGAUAUUAUUUGAGAACCUGACACAAAGAUUAGAUACAUAAUCUGUUUGGGUGAGAUUUACGUAUUUGGCCUGAAUGACUUCGUGCAGCAGGUGGUGAGAUCUGUAGCCCAACUUUGGUCUUUAAUGACCCCAGAUGCCACAUCCCCAAAGAAAACAGAAGACUGAUGCAAAAUCAUGAGAACCUUUUAGCUCCCAGGACAUUGAAUAAGCUGGCAGAAAUGUACAGCAUGGGUCCUUUUUGAACCUACAUAAACUGAGACACAUCCUCGUGGUAACUUUUCAGAAGAUACCUAGUCCCAUACAAAUGUUCACAUCGACAUGUAAAAUACUUCAAAUACAGAAUUUAUCGACGACAGAAGACUCUUUUUCUCACAUUCAGCCCAUUGACAAAAAAUACUCUAUCCUCUUUUUUCUUUGUAGCAGCUGCCCUCAAGCACUCCCAAGUGUACAAUAUUUUCUGCCAAGCCACCCAAACCCAUCAUUAGAGACAACUCUUUGCUCCUAGCCCAUCCACAAAAUUUUUAAACCUGGCAUCUAAUCAGGAGGUACCUAUAAGCUGUCAGAGGGCAGCAGUGAAGAAUUAGUUUUUUAUUAGUAAUGCCAGAAGACCUGUACAGACAUACAAGACCAAUAUCUUAAUCAAGAAAGAACUCUUUUUUUGAAAACAGAAGCUCUGUUAGUUUUGGUCUUACCAUGUUCAUUGAGGUAGGUUAAUGCCUUUUUCCCAACAAAUUUUCUAGUUUCAGGGAUAUAAUGAUGGAUCAUUAACUGCAGGGCUCCUUCUGCAACCUGUUUUUUACUUAGGUACAUUUGCUCUACUUUUCUAGCAUAGUAACUAAAUUUAAUGAGAGUGUCUAUUUUUGACAGCAGUUCAGCUGCUUCAUUCUUAAACACUUUCUGAAUCUUAGAUAUAUGCCAUCUGGUCUUAGAGACUUGUUACUCUUUCAUUUAUCCUCUUGCUUUUGCAUCUGUUCUUCUUGACACGGGGCUUCAUUUUUAUUACCUGAAAAUACUGACACGCCGUGACUCACUCCCACCUGAGCACGAAGCUACCUAAUUAGUUUUUGUAAUUAUCAGGUCAGCCUAUACACACUAACAACUACUUAAUCAAUCUGUAUUCAAAAUUAGGAUAGAAACCUAAAACAAGCAGCAUCAACCAGCAGUCAGUACACUUGGAAUCUCUUGCCAAGGCAAAUUUUCUGAUUGCUUCCCCCCACGCCCCUCAUAGGACAUUUGGUAUCUUUGAAAAUAAUUUCAUGUAUUGUUUUUACUGUAGCCACAGAUAAACCACAGAGUCUAAUAU